rnacentral:rRNA from 1 species
GACGAACGCUGGCGGCGUGCUUAACACAUGCAAGUCGAACGGAAAGGCCCUGCUUUUGUGCGGUGCUCGAGUGGCGAACGGGUGAGUAACACGUGAGUAACCUGCCCUUGACUUUGGGAUAACUUCAGGAAACUGGGGCUAAUAUCGGGUAGGAGCUCCUGCUGCAUGGUGGGGGUUGGUAAGUUUCGGCGGUGGGGGAUUGACUCGCGGCUUAUCAGCUUGUUGGUGGGGUAGUGGCUUACCAAGGCUUUGACGGGUAGCCGGCCUGAGAGGGUGACCGGCCACAUUGGGACUGAGAUACGGCCCAGACUCCUACGGGAGGCAGCAGUGGGGAAUAUUGCACAAUGGGCGGAAGCCUGAUGCAGCAACGCCGCGUGCGGGAUGACGGCCUUCGGGUUGUAAACCGCUUUCGCCUGUGACGAAGCGUGAGUGACGGUAAUGGGUAAAGAAGCACCGGCUAACUACGUG